GGCGUACAGGACGAACGCGUGGCGGGCGUUGGGAUUAGGCGAUGCAAAGUCGAACGGUAGGAUACCUUCGGGUAUCUGAGAGUAGGCGAACGGGUGAGUAACACGUAGGUGAUCUACCCUCAAGAUUGGGACAACCCAGGGAAACUUGGGCUAAUACCGGAAUGAAAGCAGCAGUGAUGUUGUUGAAAGGUGGCGUAAGCUGCCGUUUGGGGAUGAGCCUGCGCUCUAUUAGUUAGUUGGCGGGUAAAGGCCCACCAAGGCGAUGAUAGAUAGGCGGCCUUAACGGGUGGUCGCCCCACACUGGGAUUGAGAUACGGCCCAGACUCCUACGGGAGGCAGCAGUCGAGAAUAGUCUACAAUGGCCGAAAGGCUGAUAGUGCGACGCCGCGUGAACGAAGAAGCCCUUCGGGGUGUAAAGUUCUUUUAUAUGUGAGCAGUGCUUUCUAUGUGAACAGCAUGGGGAGAGAGAUAUUAGCAUAUGAAUAAGCAACGGCUAACUCCGUG
rnacentral:rRNA from 1 species